rnacentral:rRNA from 1 species
UGGGGAAUAUUGCACAAUGGGCGCAAGCCUGAUGCAGCCAUGCCGCGUGUGUGAAGAAGGCCUUCGGGUUGUAAAGCACUUUCAGCGAGGAGGAAGGUGGUGAACUUAAUACGUUCAUCAAUUGACGUUACUCGCAGAAGAAGCACCGGCUAACUCCGUGCCAGCAGCCGCGGUAAUACGGAGGGUGCAAGCGUUAAUCGGAAUUACUGGGCGUAAAGCGCACGCAGGCGGUUUGUUAAGUCAGAUGUGAAAUCCCCGGGCUCAACCUGGGAACUGCAUUUGAAACUGGCAAGCUAGAGUCUCGUAGAGGGGGGUAGAAUUCCAGGUGUAGCGGUGAAAUGCGUAGAGAUCUGGAGGAAUACCGGUGGCGAAGGCGGCCCCCUGGACGAAGACUGACGCUCAGGUGCGAAAAGCGUGGGGAGCAAAACAGGAUUAGAUACCCUGGUAGUCCACGCUGUAAACGAUGUCGAUUUUGGAGGUUGUGCCCUUGAGGCGUGGCUUCCGGAGCUAACGCGUUAAAUCGACCGCC